AAUAAACACAUGUGCCUGUGCACACACACCUAUAGACGCAGGAGCCUAUGCAAACACGCCUAUAGACACGUGCACCUGUAGGUGCACAACCCCACGGACACACGUGCACAAAGCCCAGUGUGCGGCAGCUUUGGGAAAUCUGGGGUGAAAGGAUGAGACUGGGUGGUUCUGAUGAGACGGUCUUGUGAAAUAAAGCUGAAAAGACUCUACCUUCAGAAAAAGUCCCUGACCCAAAGGUGCCAAGCACCUUCUAAAUGAAUGCCUGAAGCCAAGUGAAGUAGCAAUUGGGAAAGUCUUUAGUUGAAAUUCGUAUUCGGAAGUUCUGAUAUGAGGAAGCUGAAGAAAUGUAGCGGUGAUUUGUGCAUUUGUCAGGCAGCUCCUUUAGAAAAAUGCUGGGACACGUGGUUGCUGUUCAGAGAAACAAAGAGGGUGUGAUGUUCUGUAGCCUUCAGCUUUGCCCUUAGCAUGGGAUUAUCCCCUGGGAAGGAUACAGCAUACCAUUAAGUUCCUCUUUGUAAAGACUGUACAUUGGCCAGUGGAUAACCACAGAAUCAAAGAAUAUUCUGAGUGGGAAGGAACCCAUAAUACUCAAGUCCAACUCUUAACCUUGCACAGGACAACCCCAAGAGUCAAUGUUCCUGAGAGCAUCAUCAAAUCCUCCCUGAACUCUGUCAGGCUUGAUGCUGUGACCACUUCCCUGGAGAGCCAGCUCUAGGUGAAGAACCUUUCACUCUGGGUGAAGAACUUUUCCUAAUAUCUGACCUAAACUUUCUCUGACACAACUUCAGGCCAUUCGCUUGGGUUCUGUCACUGCUCACCACAGAGAAGAGAUCAGGCUUCCUCUCAUGAGGAAGAUGUUGACUGCAAUGGGAUCUGCCCUCAGUCUCUUCCAGACUGAAGAGACCAAGAGACUUCAGCCUCUCCUCAUGCAGCCUCCUCUCCCCUUCCUUCACCAUCUUUGCUGUCCUCCUUUUGAUGCUCUCUCACAUCUUUACCUCCUCCCUACAUUGUGGCUCCCAGAACUGCCCCAGCACUCGAGGUGAGGCUGCUCCAGCCCAGAGCAGAGCAGGACAAUCCCCUCCCUUGCCCGGCUGUGCCUGAUGUCCCCCAGGACAGGGCUGUCCCUGCUGGCUGCCAGGGCACUGCUGGCUCACGUUCAGCUUGCCAUGGACAGGAGCCCCAGGUUCCUUUCUGAGCACAGCUCUCCAGUCUCUCAUUCUCCAAGAGACCGGCCUGAUAUUCCAAUCACUUAGAGCAAUGCUGGUGUCAUAAUUUGUGUAGUAGCAAGAAUGUGGGUCACAUCUGCACAAGAUUCUGAAUUAGUUCAAGUUCAAUUAUUGUGUGUCUCUGUAUGACUGCAGUUAUAGCAAUAUUCUCUGCACUACUACCUACAGCUUCAAAAUGUAAAUAGGGUCUGUUGGUUUAAACACAUUAGUGUGACACACUUUAUCUAAAUAAAAGGGAACAAAGCCUAAGGCAUAUCUUUGCAAAAUAAGUACACCAUCUCAGUACUUACCAAUAUUAUACUAUUAAAUUAAAGAAUGUGCUUCUGCCCUGUAUCACACAGAGACAAUUUAAGACAGGAUUUGGUUCUUUCUUUGUAACAUUUAGAGCUGAAGUAGAAAAGGAUUGUAUAAUAAUUUUUGAAAGAGUCAUCUGGAGUUUUCAUGCAGGAGUAGUAAAUACAAGUUAGAUUUUAAUGGUACUUGAUAUAUAAAAAUAAUGAAAUGUAGGCCAAAGAACACAUUCAACUUUUGUACAUUUCAUAGCACUUAUUUAUUUAAUAUUUUUAUUACUGCAUCAGUCAUAUGACAGGAAAGUCAGUCCAGGGACCUGCUAACUUUUGUAUGUGAGAAACAUAGCAGAACCAAGGAAAUUUAUCUUCAUCACAUGCAUGAAAAGCAGGUUCAAAAGAUGGAAGAUGUUCUUAUAGUGGUCAUUAAAAAUUGUCAGAUGAUGAAACUUUGGGAAGAAAUGUAUGUGACAAAACAGCUCACUAACAAGGAUCUUACAACAUGAU